AUGACAGCACUGGAAAUUGAAUGCCUCUGUUUAUCUGUAGAACUUGUACAGAGCAGUACAUGGUGUGCAAGGCAAGCUUCCCCACCCUAAUGUGAUACUGUGCUUCAACCCUGACCUGGAGGGCUCAGCUGGAAGUUGAAUGGCUAAUUGGAUUUUUGUGUCUACUUUGCUAACAAAU
rnacentral:sRNA from 1 species